UACGUAGGGAGCAAGCGUUGUCCGGAAUCAUUGGGCGUAAAGCGCGCGUAGGUGGCCAUUUAAGUCCGCUGUGAAAGUCAGAGGCUCAACCUUUGAAAGCCGGUGGAUACUGGAUGGCUAGAGUACGGAAGAGGCGAGUGGAAUUCCUGGUGUAGCGGUGGAAUGCGCAGAUACCAGGAGGAACACCAAUAGCGAAGGCAGCUCGCUGGGACGUUACUGACACUAAGGCGCGAAAGCGUGGGGAGCAAACAGG
rnacentral:rRNA from 1 species